rnacentral:lncRNA from 1 species
GUUUCAAAGACAUUUACACCGGCCAGGACGGAGGCCCUGGGAAGUGUGCGCUAGAGGGAACAGCCGGGCGGCCGAGGGCGGAGAGGCGGCGCGAAUGUGACCUCAGCGGCCGCCGCGCUCCCUCCCGCCCUCUCCCGCUCCGGGCUCGGGUUUCUAGGACUGCCUGGAGAAGUGUGUCUUGUGCACAGCUCUGGAAUGCAUUUGGCAGGCUGACGAGCAGCGAGGGGCAGCAUCCUGGAGGGAGGAGGGGUGCAGCUCGCCCGCGCGCCGCCGGCAGGUUUCCUCCCGGCCUGGAAGACCUCCGGCACCCGCCACUCGGCCUCCCGGCGCGCUAACCUUGCCCAGCCAGCAGACCUGCUUAGAGCAUCCAAUCGCAUGCGGGGCCUGCUUAGGGUCAGAGAGUUUAUUCCUUCACCAUAGGUUCCAGAGAAAGCUAUCCCCAGAUGCAAGUGAUUGCUAGGAAGUAGAAAAGGGAGCCCUACGUUGUGGAAGGAAGACAACAGUAUAGGACCAUCAGCAGGACCGGACAGAGAGGGGCACGUAAGCAGUAAUUACUGGAUGGCAUAGUAAUUCUACUAAAAAUUAAAAUGCCACUUAUUGGAAUGGUGUGUGAACACUCUAAAGCAACCCGGGAAGAAGACAGCAGUCAAGAAGACCAAGGAAGGAAAUGGAGGAGGGAUGACCCCACCAUUACAGGCAGGGAAGGACUGACCAAAGAGACAGAAAUGUAGUCUAGGAAAUGUGUCAUCUUAGAAAGGAACGGGAAGGGGCUGGAGAGGUGGCUCAGAAGUAAAGAGCAGUGGAUGCUCUUUCAGGGGACCUGAGUUGGCCUCCUAAUGUCUUCAGGUACCUCCUAACUGCAUGUAACUCCAGCUCCGGGAGAUUCUGGAUUCUUCUGGUCUCCACGGCACUGCGUUCACGCGCACGCGCGCGCGCACACACACACACACACACACACACACACAAAUUAAUCUUAGAAAAGCAUAGGAAGCCUGAUUUUUUGUUUGUUUGUUUGUUUUGGGGUUUUUUUUUUGUUUGUUUUGUUUUGUUUUUGAGACAGGGUUUCUCUGUAUAGCCCUGGCUGUCCUGGAACUUGUAGACCAGGCUGGCCUUGAACUCAGAAAUCCGCCUGCCUCUGACUCCCGAGUGCUGAGAUUAAAGGUGUGCACCACCACACCCGACAAGGAAGCCUGUUUUAAGAAGUGAUUCCAUGGAGGAGUUCUGCGGCGGCUCAGGGCUUGACUAAACAGUGGACCUCAGACAAGAGAGGCUAAACCAGGCUGCAGGUGACAGGAAGAAUUGAAUAAACUGAAAGCAAAGGGCAGCCUUCUAAUUACGCUUCGUGGCUAUGUGGACAACCUGGAGAAGUCUGGAAACAAGCCAGAAGCCCGAAGCCAGCAGUAGAGCUCUGACUGGCUUGUAUGCCUAGAAAGGAAGGGCUCUUCUUUCGCCUCACGGGCACAAAUGGGACCCACGAGCGCCGAUUUCAGACUAUUCUGAUCCCUUCAAAAAGAAAGUUAGGAGUCCAGGCUACUUCACUUUGGUGAUAGUAAUCAAACCCUAAUCACGGUGCAGCCACAAGUCACAGAGACCGAAAUAGCAGACUUAUGACAGACAAGGAUGGAGACAGCUAAGGAACUGGCUAUUAAUCACCAGUCCCUCUGCUCACAGCCCAUUGGACCCGAGGGUGAAGGAUGAGGAGGAUGGAAGAAAAUGGGAGUGGCGCUUGCUGCAAAGGGUCUCGAAGGGUCUCAGCACCUGCGAACUGGCUCCAAUCCAAACUCCACUAUUCAUGGUCAAGUUCACAUAGGGCUUGGGGUUCUAACAAGAUGUGACUAAACUUACGUUUUCUAUCUUAUUGAUUGUUGUUGAUGCACGUCUGGUGGUACAUGCUUGAAGAACACAGACACCCUGAGAAGAAAGACAUAGCUCCCCAGAUUCCAGCACGCACUUCUCUGUGAGCUACCACUGUAGCUGAAGAUACAGGGCUCAGGAGGAACACUUGGCCUUCGCUCUGAACUUCAGGCCCACGUAACCAUCAGCCGACAUGACACUGCAAAGGCACCUUAGCUCUGCUGUCCCAGAUGGCCAAGCCAACCUUAUUCCAGAAGCUACUUCUCCUGAUGUAAGAACCAGACACAAAGGACAACCUCUGCCUCACCCUCCUUCACACAACACUGAGUCUGUCAUCUUUGAAGCAUUUCUCAAGCCAUGUUUAUUCCCCUGGCCUACGUGGAACACAGCCAGGGUACGGAACACAACCUCAGCACCGGUCUGCUUUCCUCUCCCCAUUUCUGGUCUUUCUCAGAUGCCCAGAGCUCCUCUGUCCCAAUGACUGCUUAUCAAAGAUCUCACUGUGUCCCCACCCAAGGGGUCUUUGGCCACCCUGUGAAGUCCUAGUGGCCUGGAGUUUGCCCCCUUUCCCAGACACCUUAGGGUUCCUGCUGCAGCUCCAGAACUGGGGGAGCAGGGUUGGGGGUGAGUGUGUGUGUGUGUGUGUGUGUGUGUGUGUGUGUGUGUGUUGACUCACCCUGCAGUAUUCUCUCCAUCUGCACAGGUCCCCAGUCUCUGAGACUGAAUCACCCCUCUUUCACUAUGCCUCUGCACAGCUGCCCUUGUGCUCCCUCUCCUUGCCCCGCCUCUUUUUAAGACAGUAUUAUGCAGCCCUGGCUGUCCUGGAACUUAUGUAAACCAGCCUGGCCUUGAACUUGCAGAGAUCCACCUGCCUUUGCCUCUGCCCCUGCCCCUGCCCCUGCCCCUGCCCCUGCCCCUGCCCCUGCCUUUCUGCCUCUGCCUCUGCCUCUCUGCCUUUCUGCCUCUGCCUCUCUGCCUCUGCCUCUCUGCCUCUGCCUCUCAAGUGUCAGGGAUUAAUGCCUGCCACCUCCCCAGUCCCACCCCUCUCCAUCUACCAUGUGGGUUCCACGGGGCAAACCCAAGUCAUCAGGCUUGUUGGCCAGUGCCUUUAUCCACUGAGCCAAGCCGCUUGGUGUGUCUUUGAUGGUGAUUAUUUACAGGAGCUAUUCAGCAAGGUUAAAUGCUGGCAACCCAAUGAGGGGGUCUCUUGAUCCAAAACUGAGAAGUUGAGGCACUAUUUCAGAAUGACCAAAGACAGUAGAAGAAUCUAGAUAUGUCGAUGAUGAGAACAAUGAUAACUCCAAAAGCUGAGGGAAAUUAACUCAAAAUCUUCCAGCUUCCUUUUCCUUACCUAGUUUGGCGGACUCCAACUCUUGGGAUAGCUUUUUUUCUGGCCCCAAACUCACCUGAUUCGUCUGUCCACUGCCACACUGAAGAAUGAACAGCUGUCUCAGAGAGCUUGGCUCCAGAGCUCUGCAAAAAGAGGACACCUUGCCUUGAGCUGUGUUUCCAGAAUGUAUUGCAGCCCCCAGAGUCAUGUACUGUGACCAGGUGAGGACAUGCAUCUUCUGUUCUCCUGCACCCAGGGCCCCAGCAACCAAGGAUCUGGGGACAUGGCGGGUGUUUGGCAGGUUCGCACUCUGAAAAUAUUUGAUGAGACUCAGUAUAUGCUAAAUAAACACUGGAUC